UACAGAGGUCUCAAGCGUUGUUCGGAUUUCAUUGGGCGUAAAGGGUGCGUAGGUGGCGCUGUAAGUCGGGUGUGAAAUUUCGGAGCUUAACUCCGAAACUGCAUUCGAUACUGCGGUGCUUGAGGACUGGAGAGGAGACUGGAAUUCAUGGUGUAGCAGUGAAAUGCGUAGAGAUCAUGAGGAAGACCAGUGGCGAAGGCGGGUCUCUGGACAGUUCCUGACACUGAGGCACGAAGGCCAGGGGAGCAAACGGG
rnacentral:rRNA from 1 species